rnacentral:rRNA from 1 species
AUUGAACGCUGGCGGCAGGCUUAACACAUGCAAGUCGAGCGGAGAUGAGGUGCUUGCACCUUAUCUUAGCGGCGGACGGGUGAGUAAUGCUUAGGAAUCUGCCUAUUAGUGGGGGACAACAUUCCGAAAGGAAUGCUAAUACCGCAUACGCCCUACGGGGGAAAGCAGGGGAUCUUCGGACCUUGCGCUAAUAGAUGAGCCUAAGUCGGAUUAGAUAGUUGGUGGGGUAAAGGCCUACCAAGGCGACGAUCUGUAGCGGGUCUGAGAGGAUGAUCCGCCACACUGGGACUGCGACACGGCCCAGACUCCUACGGGAGGCAGCAGUGGGGAAUAUUGGACAAUGGGCGGAAGCCUGAUCCAGCCAUGCCGCGUGUGUGAAGAAGGCCUUUUGGUUGUAAAGCACUUUAAGCGAGGAGGAGGCUACCUGGAUUAAUACUCUAGGAUAGUGGACGUUACUCGCAGAAUAAGCACCGGCUAACUCUGUGCCAGCAGCCGCCGUAACAC